rnacentral:lncRNA from 1 species
AGACAUACUCUUGCAUAUAGUGAGCUUUCCAUUUUGAAGGUCAUUGGAAUGUGCUGCAAUUUAUGACAAGGCAAACACGUUAAAACUCAAGAAGAAAGUAUCUACAUGAUACUCCAGAUAAAUCAAAUUUUCCAUGGCAACUAUACUGACACAAAUUUCCUGUUUGUACGGAAUGACAAAUCCAGAGAUGCUAGGAGAAGCAAUAAGAAGAAAAAAGGGUGUCAUCAAUAAAGUGGACCAAGAUCUUGAUUCGUUCAUUAAGGUAGCUCUUCUUUACUAAGAUUUUUGAAAGACCGGAUUAUGUUUUGUUUGGUUACUCAAAUAGCUCGUCUCUCAGGCCACCACCUUUGGAGAAGGAAGCAACCUCACAACAAACUACAUUAUCAAGGUAAUUUAGUUACUUGUUUGAUUUGCUGUAUACCUUGAUGAUACAAUAGUAACAGUUGAUUGUAUGCAGAUACUUGGCCUGUCUGAGUGUGCUGAUACCCUAGUAGGAGACGAGAUGAGGAGAGGAAUAUCUGGAGGGCAAAAGAAAAGAGCCACAAUUGGUAAGCAUUCCUAUCAUGGCUGAUUGUAAAAUACAUAGCUAUAGGAUUUAUUUAGCUGCCACUGGAAGCACACACUUCAAUCUGAAACAAAGCCACAUUAACUGACAUUCCACCACCUCAAGAACGCAAAAGGUUCUUACCAGGGCAGGAAUCUUCAUGAUAACGAAUAAUGAGUAGCUCUAAAAUUGAAUGCUUAACUAACCAGAAUAUUAGAAUAAGGAACAGAGUAAAGAUAUAGUUAACUGGAACCUAACCUAAGUUGGCAUACAUUAACGUGAUGUUGUUUAAUGCAGGGGAGAUGCUGGUUGGUCUAGCAAGGUGCUUCUUU